AGGAUAAACGCUGGCGGCGUGCCUAACACAUGCAAGUCGAACGCCCUUUUGUGCCGCAAGGUGGAAGAGGGAGUGGCGGACGGGUGAGGAACACGUGGGUGACCUACCUUUCAGUGAGGAAUACCGGCGAGAAAUCGCCGACAAGACCGCAUAGGCUCGAUGCAAGUCGAGCAAAGCUCUUUCGAGAGAGGGAGCGCCACACGAGGAGCCUGCGCCCGAUUAGCUAGCUGGUGGAGUAACGGUUCACCAGGGCGACGAUCGGUAGC
rnacentral:rRNA from 1 species